ensembl:lncRNA
CUCAUCCUGAUGGUGUAAACCAUGCACCACACUGCUGGCCUGCCUGCUCCUCACUGGCAUGGCAGGUAGCUGGACCUUGGGGUGCUUUCAGGAGUGCAUCUCUGCUAGGAAAUAUUUCUCUCCACGGCAGAGUUAGCAUCUGGUAGCUGCGGGGAGCUCCCAGGCUGGGUCAGUGCUGUGCCAGCUUUCCUGCUGGCCUCGGGUGGCCACCCUUCUGGGGCAGGGGGUCCUUUCUCUGUGUAUUUAUCCGUGUUUUUAAAAUGAGGGGAUUUUCUUCAAAAAGCACACCAGCUCUGAUGUGACCCUUGCAUGUUCCCGUGCAGCGCGGACCUUCUUAUUUCCUGAAUGGCUUGCUCUGCACUUGAGUUAACUCACACCCUGGAUUUUGUCCAAGUACAUUUUGUUUCUUGAUACGAGGCCAGACUUUGCUGACUUGUGGUGCCGUUUUCUUCUCCCUGCUCUCCUCCCUGCUUCUUUAUUAUCAUCCUCAUUACCGAGUGUUACUGGCACCGUGCAGCCAAGGCGGGGAGAGCAGGCCCCAGAUCUACGCCUGCCUCUGACAACAGCUGAAGGGAGCGCGCUGAAGCAACAACAAACGCCUUCUUUAACGUACAUUGCCUGCACAUUGAGCUGUCCCAAGCCUGGCCCGGCACUGAAAGCAGUUACUGACAAGUGCCCAUCCUUAGAACUUGGACCAAGACUGAAACAACAGAGUCUCAGGAGUCCUGCAGGCCCAUUGCUGAGAGGAACCCUGGGUAUUAGUGAAGUUCCUGUGACUUGAAAGAAGGCAAAUUUGGUUUCCACGCACUGGUUCCAGGGCAGCAGCUGAAGCUCGGGAGAUGCCGUGCACCCAUAGUAGGCUCCAUCCCCUGGGGGCGAAGGUCCGUGGCCCUUCCUUGUCAGGCCCUGCCUGGGGCAUACUCAUAAGUGAAGAGUAACAAAGGUACUAAUGUCCUAAUAAUGAGACAAGGCUUGUUUUUGCAAAGCAGCUGUUCCAAACUUGUUGUCUGGAGGGUGCUCCUUCGGUGGCCAAGUGCCUCAGGAUAAAAGGGCUCAAGGUAAAAGUAGGAACAUAGACUGAGAGUAGGAACACAACCCAGCAAUAAUAGGUUUGUGAUGAACACAAAGAAUUUUCCUCACAGUUUUGUGAAGGUUUCUGCUUCUUUCAUUUGUGGAAGAGGAGCAAACAGUUCAGGACAUGCUUCUCCCUGAGAGCUUUCCAAACUCUCACUUUCUUUUUUUUGCUUUCCUUGACCCUUGCUUCACAUACUGCCUGACUACCCUCUUGUUCAGUGCAAAAAUCCUAUUAGAAGCAUACCAGUUACCAAGAAAUUAACUCAGAUACCGUCAUGCUGUUACUUUUCCACCUCAAUUAUGCAAGAUGGAAUUAAAGUGCCUUAGUAUAAGACCCUUACUGUUCUUAUGAACUCCAAACCACACCAGAAAUAUUCUACCCGGUGACCUUUAUCUGCACAUAAUUACAGUCUGAGGCAUUCUUAAAUCAUUUGCUAAGCUAUUUCUAGUGUUAUUCCAUGGUAAUCUUAAAUACCUAGGGAUUACCAGAGAUUACUGCCCUAUUUUCAGGGCACAGCAGCUAGAUUGCUAAGUAAUGCUGUGCUCUGAUACUUCUAGCAGGCACUGGUAUGUUUGAUAAAUCUGACUUUUUAAACGAAGACUGAAAUUGCUGUAUUGCAUAGUAUAAAGAUAAAUUUAUAAUUAAUCUUUGAAACUUUGAAUAAAUUAACAAACACAAGGCUAACA